rnacentral:lncRNA from 1 species
ACCACAGUGACGGUACUUUGCUUAGAAAACAUCAACAACAUAAUAGUUAGAUUAUGGAUCAAUGUCAUUAAAACUUAGCGUGGGCUUUGAACUAUGAAACCAAGCUCACACAGAUUGGAGAGUAGAAACAGAAUGCGAAGAUAGUGGGAGAGAGUGUUGUUCUUUGGUUCUCUAACUCACAGGUCGCACGAUCUAAUUUGACAGAGGUAAAAAGAGAAAAAUUGGAAAAGAGUGAACAGACGACGAAUAACUCUAAACUUUAUAGUAGGAAAGAAGUUGUCUAAUACUACUGGUGAAGAAAAAAAACAGCAAUCCAAAUAUCCACAGCACAAAUCAUGACAAAGUUCUUAAAGUGGUCACGGGUACUCGCAACAAAGAAAACAACAAGCUGCACACCGAAGAAGAAAAUCAACCACAACAAGUCUGUUACUAAACCAUCCCUCAAAACCACUAUUGCCCACACAAUCCACAA